GCCGAUUCUUUCCCGCUGAGCUACCUGGGAAGCUUUUUAUUCCUCAUCAGAUACUAUCAAUAAUACAGUGGACCCUGAAAUUUCAAGUGCAUCAGAAGCAUCCGCAGAGCCCCUUGUCCAGAGUUUCUGAGUCACUAGAAAAGCCAGUCUACAACAUGCAAGAAUGUUUACCAGGAUGAAAAAACAAUGAUUUUACAGGACCUUAUGGAGUAUUGAUUUGCUGCCACCUGCUGGGAGGUAGAUAUGGGUUUCCAGCAUCUUUAAAAGGGCUUCCCUGGUGGCUCAAAUGGUGAACAAUCGGCUUGCAAUUCGGGAGACAAGAGUUUGAUCCCUGGGUCUGGAAGGUCCCCUGGGGAAGUAAUGGCUACCCACUCCAGUAUUCAUGCCUGGAGAAUUCCAUGGACAGAGGAGCUUGGCGGGCUAGUGACUAAAAAAAUCCAUACUCCUAUCCAAAUUACAGUUGCCCACUAAUGCAGACAAGUACUCUGUCUUGCUUAUCUUUCAUGAUACUGACAUUAUUGAAAAGUCC
ensembl:lncRNA